CGCGGGACCGGGAGGUGUGUUUGUUUACUUUUGAAACACGUCGAGAUAUAGGCAAAGUGAGUUUAUGUUUGUCUCUUGAUACAUCUGGAGAAGAGAACUUUGAUCAGUAGGUACUGCAAGCAGCAAGCCAGUUCAAUGGCUGAGGAAGAGUUGGAUUGCAUAGAGACUCCGGAUUGAUGUAAAAAAAAAGUAAAUCAUGAUUAUGAGAAGUCAUCAAGAAGGUAAGUAAGACAGCAUGUUGUACCUAUUCAAAUAUGAUCCAACCUCCAAAUGUGAUAAAAUUGUCAUGGUUUCUUCUCUGUCCUUGAACUAGAUUGAUUUUGGGAUUGGAUUUUACACCAAGAAAUGUAUGAGGAUAAAGUUGAUUUUUUUCUAUUCAAAAUGUCACUGAAGAAAGUGUACCAAUACUAUCAUUUUAAAAAGAUUUGUAAUGUGUUGUUAAUCAGCAUAUUUCAAAAUGUUGUUGUUUUAAAAUUUGUUUUCGACAGCAUAUAAUAUAAUGCUCUAUAGCUAAUAAUCUAUUUUAGUCCAGUCAAUGAACACUCAAAAAGGGGGUGUAUAGGGAAAUGGAAGGAACACAAUUUUUGUCUUUGGGACUUUGUUUGGACUCAUUAGGUGGUAAAUAUACUAAAAGUCCCCACUCCAAGGAGACAUCAAAAACUAAAGACUUACUCAAGACAAACUGUAAACAAUGUGCAGAAUGAUAUUUAAGAUGAAUAUGUUAGCAAAAGGCUUUCUUAAUGGUCUGUAAUAUGGAUACGGGACUGACUCCUGGGCACCGGAAGUCUGAAUAAACACCCCCCCCCCCCCCAAAAAAAAUCGCAACACCAAGAGCUUUAAUAAAUUUCAGAUAUAAAAAUCAUCCAAAAGUUAUGUAGGCUGUUUAUCUUUUGCUUCUUUUGAGGGAAUAGUGAGGGGUGGCCAUGUUUCUCUGUGCUCCCCUCCCCCUUUAGCCUUCUCCUUUGAGACUGCCUCCAGUGGCUCGUGAAACACUAGGUCCUCAUACAGUAAUGUUACACACAAAAUUGUGCGAUAACUUUGAUUAUAAAGAGCAAUUUGUUUUAUCACGCAAUAUUAAAAUAAUUUUUUUUUCAAUGCCGCUUGACAUGCAAUGCAAAAUACAAGUAUAUACACACACACAUACACACACACACACACACAGCAUUAACUGUGAUUAUGUCACAUUAUUCUUCCACCUGCAGCAUCACUUUUAAAAAAAUCUGAUUGUGCCUCAAUCUCUACACAGCUACACAGAGAUGGGCGACUUGUUUGUCCUUGAAUUUUAGUCUGUUGACUAUAGCAUAAACUUAAUAAAGUCUAAUUUUAAUGAUCUUUAUCAAUAAUUUAUUACCGUGUUUUAUCUUAUAAUCGUUGCAAAUUUUAUACUAAAAUCAAGUUUGAAAAGUAGGGGUGCACGUUUAUGCGAUAAUUUUUUUUUGUUAGGAAGUUAUUCAUAAAAAUAUAACCCAUUCAUGGAAAGAACGUUUAUUUAAAAAGUGACAUAUAAAAGAGCACGCCAAACAAUUUAAAUUAAUGUCAUGCAACAAAAACCUUUCUUCAACUUUAAAUAUAAAAAUUUAAUCUGCUAUCCGAAUGCGAGCCUGAACAAAUGCAUAACUAUCGUUGUAGAACAUACCACGAGUGUGUGCGAACCAUCAAAUGUAGUUAACUCAGCAGUUGACAGAGAGUGCACGUGUGCCGUUUAUCAUAAUUUUUUGGGCACAAGUUUUGAAUUCUAAGUAUAAAUUUUCAUUUUUAAAGAAGGAAACCAAAAAAUAAAGUUGCAUUUUUAAUUUCAUUUAAUUCUGUUUCCAUUACUGUACUCUCCGACGUAAUCUUGUGCAACCCAUUGCACCUGCGCUUGUUUGCAGGCCCAAUUAGAUACUUUUGCUGACGAUUGGUUAUCGCAGCAUCUCGGUCACAGUUUGCAUCACGUUUUCUCCCUGUAACAGUAUGUCUUUUCGUGCUAGCGAACGCUACCCCAAGCCCCGCGCUAGCAUCUUUCAUUUCUCGGAGGCAAGCAUAGGUAAGCUGUUUGGCAGCACGUCGAGAAGCGUAUUACAGUCCUCGGCGACGCCUCGGGAAGGUUUACACUAUGCUUUUCCCAGGCGACUUAGCAAGUUUUGACCCCCCUUCUCUCAUCUCCCACCUGUGGCUUCUCGGGAACUUCAACCCGGAGCAUCGACCUCCAGUGAACCCACGCAGAGUACAUGGCCUCUCCAAGGACAUACGCCCUUGUCCAACAGAGCCCUCAGCGAAGCCUAGCGGUGGCCAAAAUCCCUAACCUUGCUCUGUCCGCUGGUUGCGAGUGCGCCCAGUGCACUCUAGCGGACGUCUCUGUGACCCUCCAGCCUGUUUCUCCUCUUGGCCGCCAGAGCGCACUACUCAUCCCUCCCAUAAGAGACAGCAUGUCAUAAUCGACUUUGGAAGCAGUUGCGGUGCGAUUGCGACCUUAGUCCGCCCGCGACCCUGGUCAGAGUGCAGUCUGCUUCGCUCCUCCUGGCAUUUUCAGAUACCUUCGGGACCAUCAUCCCCCCCCCCCCCCCCCCCACCACCAUUUGGCUGGGCGCAGUAACUUGCUUUAAUUAGGUGCGCCAACGCUAUUUUUGAAGAUUCGGCAGGCAGCAUCUGCUCAGUACGGACCACGCGUCACGAUUCGUGAGAGUCCACCUCAGUAUUCCUUCCAAGACUUGACACUACGUCACGUAGUCUCGAACAUCAAGGCAUAAAUGCCUUAUUUUUCUUUUUUUUUAAAAUUGGCUGCCCGUAAUAGUUUUUUUUUAAAUCUAAAUUAUUUCUUCACUUUUCUCGUCAUGGCUACCGCGGACUUCGCCGGGAGUUGCUUACUCUACUCCUGGAGCCAGCUAACGUGACUUCACCCCGCUGUUUUGGGUAAGUGGUCGUCAUAUUCCCCCCCCCCCCCCCCCUUCUUUUUUGCCUUUCCUUGGGCGUAGUCUUGCCCAGCCUUAGCUGCCUGUUAACCAGUCUAAGCAAUUUGGGACUUUAAUUACAGGCGGGAUGCAAGAAUUAGAAUGGAACUUCUCUGCCAAAAUUAGCAGUCCGUGAUUGGGCUCAUGCUGUCACAAGUUUUCUCCCCUCUCCGGUCGACAUACAAGUUUCUACAUAAAACGAAUUCUUCUGGACUUUAAUCUACAGAAACCUCCGGUGCCAGGAACACCAGUUUUCAGGACAUGGGAUUUGGUUAAAUUCAUUUAAAAUUAAAAACAAAAUGUAAUUGUCUUUCUUUUGAGCCUGCGAGCUCACGUAAAACCAGGGUCAAGUUUAAAAGAUAUGGUUGUUUUACUUUUAUAUGUAUUGUGUUGGGGCUCCCUUCUGUUUGUAAUUAAUAUAUUUUAAUAAAUGUGUACUUAAAGAUAAAAGAAAAAGCUAAGUAAAUAAUUUUAGUAAAAAGGCAGUUAUAUAAAUCAAA